UGCCCUAUGGUAUAACGGUAGCACAACAGGUUUUGGCUCUGUUGGUGAAGGUUCGACUCCUUCUGGGGCGA
rnacentral:tRNA from 1 species